UGGGAAGCAGCUUCUGCCUAUGCCUGUUUGGUGGCUGUGGAGCUGAGUGGGUGCUAGGUGCUGCUCAGCUGGGCUGCAGCCCCUGGCCUCUCCAGCACUGCAGCCAGAGAAAACUACCGGACUAUGGAGGAGUCUAGAUGAUUCAUUAUCAGAUGAAAUUUCAGAACCCACAACCAUCUGCGUCCCAGCUUGAGGAGGAUAGUUUACAAAUUCUGCAUCAGCUUACAUGCAAAUGAUCAAGAGAAGAGGAAACCUCAGAGGCCAGCCUGCAUCUGCUCCCCUUAUUAAAAAGAACUCCAUAUGUGAAGAUGAAGACAAACGCAAUGAGUUGAAGAAUAUGAAUUCCACCCAAGUGUGUACAAUUCAUGCAGAGAGUGUCAAUUCCAUCUUCUCAAAAGACUCUGCAAUGUCUCUACAAUGCACUAGGGAAAAGGGGGAAGAAUGAGGCAUCAGGACCUAGUAGCAAACAGAGCAUCCUUCAGGGUCAUACAGGUAAUGCUAAGGGUAAAACAUCCAUUUAGAUAUUGGGCACAGAGAGAAUCUUUGACCUGUGUUCUUGCCAAAAGAAAGAAAGCAAGAUGGAAGAGGCUAUUUAUCUCAAGGUCUUCAAACAAUAAACUUCUUUCAUCAGAACACUAUAGUUAAUUCAUGAUGUGCAUAGUGGUAAAGGGGUCCAGUUACCUUCCCUUUAUAUUCUUCAAAUGGCAAUGUUUAAUCAAAGUUACCCCUAGAUUGCAGCUAUAGAAUAAUGGUACA